rnacentral:lncRNA from 1 species
AUUGAACCCUAGCAUACACACCUCCAGCCCCUGUGUAUGUUUGGAUAUACAUAUAUAAAUGUAAUCUGCAUAUUGGACAGGUGACUAAAUGCACACAUAAAACCUUGCUUGUAGGACAAGGGAUAUAGUUCCAUGAUAGAGCACUUGGGUACCAUGUGAGGCCCUGGGUUCAAUCCAAAGUGCUGAAAAAAAAAAAAAAGAAAAAGAAAUCUUGCCUGUCUGCUUACAUACAGACUCAGAUUCAGAUGAUCAUUGAAUUGCUUGUACAUGAGCAAAGGUUCACAUGUAUUUUUGUGCAGAGUGGGGUGGAACAUACCUAAACAUGAGUGGCGAGUGUGUCAAUGUGCAUGCAAGAAUGGCUUCACAUGUGACGAUACAUAUGAAUCACAAGAAUGCCUUCUCAACAGGAUGAUGUAAGUGUUGUCCCCAACCUUGGAAUGCAGGGUGCCCUGCCUGGCUCCAGUCAGGGACUGGGUUCACAGCACCCCCACCCUUACCCUCCAUGUACUCCCUAGUCCCCAGACCCAUCCUGCUUGGCCAAUUUGCAGCCUUCCCAGCUCCUGGGAAGGCCUGCAGCAAAGUCAAGGGGCUGGUGGCCAAUUAGCAAAGGGGUUAAUCAGAGAUCUGGGGACCCCUAGGGGGUAGGAAGCUGAAAGCAGGCAUGGGGUUGGCAGCAGCUUGAGCUGCCUGUCCUAAUACUGGGGGAGGGGAGGCCAAGACAGCCUGUUGGUACUGGAAACCAGGUGGAUUCAUGAUUGCUGAGCACUGACAGUAGCAGGGAGCAUGUGUGUGUGUACACUGUGAAACGGUGUGUGUACAUGCAUUCUAGUCCUUGAAAGUGGUCUUGCAUGCAUUAAUGUAUACAUGCCUAUGCAUACCACCUGCAUACAUUCGUGCAGGUUUCUAUCUGUGUAUACAUGGAUGUACAAAGGCAUGCAAGUGGGUUUGCUUACACAAGCAUGUCUGAAUCUGUUUGCACAUAGUUGUGUAGAAGGGUAAGUCUGUAUACACAUGUGCAAGGCAUGCAGACACAUUUAAGUAUGUGUUCCAACAUGCAGUCGUGUACAUAUAAAGUGGCUGUGAUCUGCCUACACAUGUGCAAUGGUAUAUCUGUGUGCACAAGGAUGCAUGCACUGCUGCACUGAUGCAUAUGAAUAUCUGUAUGUUUGUACGUGUGCGUGUGUGUAUGUGUGUGUGUGCGUGUGUGUGUGUGUGUGUUUGGAACAUCUGGACACCUGGCUCCUACUUGUGCUCCUGUGCAUGUGUCAAUGUGCUCAGUUCUCCGCAUGGAAGGAGCUGGGGGAUGCAGGGUUCACAGUCUCCAGGCUCUAGGAGGGAAUCUGACAGACAAGCCUUGCCGCAGCCCCCGGGCCCCGGGAGCCUGUUUUCCAGCCUGUAGAAGCUGUGAGCCCGUGAACUCAUCUUAUAUUAAUAGCUGCUGUCUCCGCACUUAUUGCAGGGAGAGGCGGUCAUGGCCCCAGCGAGGGUUUGGCCCUCAGUACUUCCCCCCCCCCCAACACACACAGGACCAGGGGAGAAGCAGAACAUGUGUGGGCCCCAUCCUAGGCCCAGCCUGGCAGGAAGAGAGCCAAUACAGGGAGCAGCUUGGGCCUCUGUAUCUGGUUAGGAUCAGGCAUGGGGUUAGAAAGCUGGCAGAGGCAGAAAGGCCCCCAUACACACACACACAUGCUAUGCUGAGCCACUUGGAGCUGAGCACAAGAGGAGUCUGAGGCUGAAGGAGACAGAAGGCUCAGUCUGAGGGGAAGACACUGUCCUGCCUCAGGGGAUCUCGUCCAAGGCAAAAGAUGUGACCCUGCUCUCAGAGAUCGUCAGAGAUCCUAAGGCUGUGACAGGGCCCAGCUCUCAGGAAUGCCUGCUCUAAGGGAGAGACAUGACCUUGAAUUCUGGAGUCCCUUGAUCUGAGGAGAGACAAAGAGAGUUGCUUUCAGGAGCCUUCGGUUUGAGGGAACAGACAUGCCUCUUCUCUUAGGGACCCUCAGUCGAAAGUGAGCGACAGCCUCACCCUCCGGAGCCCCAUUCUGAGGAGGAAGCAAGACUUCCCUACACAUGAUUACUGGGGGGUGGGGGGAGCUGUGG